CGAAGCUGUUUUCUAUGGCAUGCACCCAUGUAAAAUUUCAACUUUAAUUGACAUUGUUCAAACUAUAAUUAUAAUUAUAAUACAAUAGUUUUAGUGUGUAUACUUUGGCGUUUAAAUGUAGUUAGCGAUUAUUUGUGUAUACUGUGCAUGAUAAAACCUGCGGGCCUGUAUUUUUAUUGCGAAUUUACUUCGAAUGAUUCUCACACAAAAUAAAACGGUCUUAUAAUUAGGAUGUGUUAAAACAUUGACGUCUGUAGUUCAGUAAAGCCUAUAGUUUACACGAGCAAGUUUUAUUUUGGCAAGUUUCACUUUGACAAUUUUUAUUUGCUGGUGUAAAAUGUGGCGAAGUUUUCAUUGACAAGUGCAUGUAUACUUGUUGGAAAACUGGCAUGCCAACUUUUCAACAAGUAUAGUUGUUAAAGAAAAACUGCCAUAUGUCGCUAAAAUUGUCCGUGUACACAAUGACAUGUCAAGAAAAAUGUGACAAGCAAAACAUUGUUGGCUGUUAAAACUUGCGAAGGAGAACUUAUCAAAGAAAAAAUAUUUACCAUUCAUAUAAACGAGCAUGUUCAAUAGACCUUAAUUCUUAUAAUGACGUCAAACGCGAAAAACAAGUCGUUAGCGUCUAAAGUCUGGUUUCCAUAUGGUCGUAACGGUCGUAAAGAUUGAGUCACGAUCUUUCUCAUCAGCCGAAAUACAACAUUUUAGAAGUGAAAACACGUGGAGUGAUUAUAACUAGAGAAUACUUAUUAUUUAUAUGUGGUUUACAAGUAUAAACUAUUAUAAACUGGCCGUUGAGAAAGAUCGCGACUCUAUUUUUACGACCAUUACGACCAUAUGGAAACCAGGCUUUACAAGUGUUUUCCCGCGUUUGACGUCUAUAUAUAAGAAAGUCUAUUUCACAAAAUUUGCCAAAAGAAAAUUUUUCGCGUAAAGUAGGUCCUAUAUAUAUAUAUAUAUAUACAGGGUGUAUAAAAAAAACUGAACAGAUUUGAAAUUGCUCUCAAUUUCGCAAAACACCUAUUUGUAUCCGUUUUUUAUAUGUAUAGCUUCGUUGGGUACUUAUAAUGUAGAACAAUGAAAAAAAUUUCUCGAACUCAAAUUUUGUGAACCAGGGGGGGUGUGUGUGUGUCUUUUCCAACAAACUAAAAAUGGCUCGCGCACAAAAUUUAAAAGCUGCAGGCAUAUGUUGAGUUAAUAGAUGGAAAAUUUGUCGGGUUUUUAAUUACUGUAAAAAUUUCCAGACAAUUUGGUUCAGUUUAAGCCCCUUAACUAUUCACGCAAAGUUACAUUUUUCCUAAAAAUCAGCUAUUUGCAUGCUUAAUUAAUGCAUUUGCCUAAUUUGCAUAUGUCAGCAAUAUGCAAAUUAGGUAAAGGCAUUAAUUAAGCAUGCGAAAGGCUGACUUUUUAGAACAAAAUGAAUAGUUAAAGGGCUUAAACUAAACCAAAUUGUCUGAAAUUUUGGACAGUAAUUAAAAACCCGACAAAUGUUCCAUCUAUUAACUCAAAAUAUGAUUACAGCUUUUAAAUUUUGUGCGCGAGCCAUUUCUAGUUUGUUGGAAAAGACACCCCCCCCCUGGUUCACAAAAUUUGAGUUCGAGAAUUUUUACAUUAUAAGUACCCAAAGAAGCUAUAUAUAUAAAAAACGGAUACAAAUAGGUGUUUUGCGAAAUUGGGAGCAAUUUCAAAUCUGUUCAGUUUUUUUUAUACACCCUGUAUAUAUAUAUCCUCAUCAGUGUAGUGCUAGCCUGCGAACAGGCUCUCAAGCUGAAUUGAGAGCCUGCAUCGAUGACUAAUGAAUUUGAAUAUCUGCGUCUCAAAUCGUGACGCGAAAUUCUCAUUGGUCAGAUGCUAUAAUUUAUAUGUUUCCGCUGAGCUCUAUAUAUGUCAACUGCUGAAGCACUAUGCAUAAAAACACAUUAACUGAUCAAAUUGGUCUUGGCCGUCUUAUCUCAAAGCACGAAAUGUUCUGUUUUGAGAAAACAGUAUUUAAAACAUUUGAACUUUUGCUUGAAUAUCUUAUAUUUCGAAAAACAGUAUAAACUGUACGGUCUAAAUUUAGUUUGCACGGUCUAAAUUUAGUUUGCACAAAAGUUGUAAACAACACCAUAUAAGGAUAGACAUUCCAUAUUUGGAAAAACGAACGUUACGGGGCAGAUAUUCAAAUCCAUUAGUCAUCCAUGCAGGCUCUCAAUUCAGCUUGAGAGCCUGUU